ensembl:lncRNA
CAUUUACCAGGGGUCCGCCCGGUGUCCUUUGUCUAAAUUGGUGCGUAAUCUUCAACUGGAGGCAUUUUCCCAUGAGAUUCAGAAGAGAACGCACACUUCCACGAACAAUAUAUCAUCGAAGAGAUAUGUGAAAAACACCUUGAGGAUUGGUUCUAAACAACGUUUACCAUGUUUCAGUCGAUAUUAUGGAGUUAAUUUGGAAAAAAGUUCGGCGUUUUGAUGACUGAAUUUUCGUAUUUUUUUUGGUAGCCAAACGUGACGCACCAAACGGAGCGAUUUCUCCUAAACAAAUAAUCUUUCAGGAAAAACUGAACAUUUGCUAUCUAACUGAGAGUCUCCUCAUUGAAAACAUCAGAAGUUCUUCAAAGGUUGUCUCUAAUGCCUUGAGGUGGAACUGCUCCUGAUGGCUAAGGACAUAAGCACACUGGGAAUCCUGAAGCCUGUAGCCAUCUAAUGGAAGUAUUGGUGGAGAAGGAGCAUCGGCAAUCUUCACAAUUUCACGGGUCUUUGGCAGUGGAAGCUGAUAGGACAGAACACUUCCGCAUUGCACUGGCCCAAAGGCGGACUCAACCAGGUGCACGUCAGCUGACAUUUGUUGUCACAAGAGGUGCAGACCUGAGCCCUAGGAUCCAUGCCUCAGGACUACCUGACAUCAUGACUCUCUGCUGUCCCCAGUCCACCUGGCCGUGCUGCUGCUCCAGUUGCAACUGUUCUGCCUGUGAUUAUUAUUAUUUGACCACGCUGGUCAUUUAUGAACAUUUGAACAUCUUGGCCAUGUUCUGUUACAAUCUCCACCCGGCACAGCCAGAAGAGGACUGGCCACCCCACAUAGCCUGGUUCCUCUCUAGGUUUCUUCCUAGGUUUUGGCCUUUCUAGGGAGUUUUACCUAGCCACCGUGCUUCUACACCUGCAUUGCUUGCUGUUUGGGGUUUUAGGCUGGGUUUCUGUACAGCACUUUGAGACAUCAGCUGAUGUACGAAGGGCUAUAUAAAUAUAUUUGAUUUGAUUUGAUUUAACAUCUGGAUACAAUCACAAGAAAAUGUUUUCUAAAAUGUUUCCAUUCUAGGAACCUCCAACUUACCUUAUUCCAUCAGCACACGAGUUAGUAGGUUUACAGAACUCUAUCCCAUCAACCGGACCUGGCUUCACACUCUAAUUAACAAGGAUUUACCGUUACAUAGGCUGAAUACUUUUCAGGUGCAUUUUUUUAUGGAUAUUGAUAGACUCCCAAGUGUUCUUGGCUUGUGCCAACGCUGUUCUGUGUCUGUGCAGCUGUGAACUGGUGGUGCAGCAGGAAUGUUUAGUUGAGAGUAGUGCACUGUCUGGUAAAGAAGGGCCACCUGAUGAUUGCACAGAGCACUUCCUGCAACACAGGAACAGUGGCUUUGGACCCUUAUCACUGGUACGGAGUGCUUUUAACACUAUCUGUGAAGAUAAGUGAAGUGACUGAAGUGAGAAACAAGAAUGAUGUGGCCCAUAAAUAACAAUAAACAUAGUUGUAUCUAGUCUUCUUAACUUGGGGCUCAU